UCGGCAGAGCCGAAGAGAAAGUUCCCCUCGCCUGGAAAGGGCGGGCCCCAAUGAGAAGUCGAUUGCGAAUGUUGAAAAAAAACAGAAGUCGUUGGAACCAUGAAAA
rnacentral:rRNA from 1 species